rnacentral:rRNA from 1 species
AUUGAACGCUGGCGGCAGGCUUUACACAUGCAAGUCGAACGGUAACAGGCCGCAAGGUGCUGACGAGUGGCGAACGGGGGAGUAAUGCAUCGGAACGUGCCCAGACGUGGGGGAUAACUACUCGAAAGAGUAGCUAAUACCGCAUACGAUCUAUGAAUGAAAGCGGGUGACCGUAAGGCAUCGCCCGAUUGUACGGGCCGAUGUCAGAUUAGGUAGUUGGUGGGGUAAAGGCUCACCAAGCCAACGAUCUGUAGCUGGUCUGAGAGGACAACCAGCCACACUGGGACUGAGACACGGCCCAGACUCCUACGGGAGGCAGCAGUGGGGAAUUUUGGACAAUGGGCGCAAGCCUGAUCCAGCCAUGCCGCGUGCAGGAAGAAGGCCUUCGGGUUGUAAACUGCUUUUGUACGGAAAGAAACGGAUCUGGUUAAUACCCGGGGCUAAUGACGGUACCGUAAGAAUAAGCACCGGCUAACUACGUG